rnacentral:lncRNA from 1 species
UGUCUUUGGUGUUGUACAAGGGUUUUCUUUAAACCAUGGAAGGGGCAAUACAAGUUGUACCUUGUGCACCUUGUGCAUUAGAAGGUUAUUCCAGUAUUAUUGGGAAAGGGGGAUGUUAUACACGUGUCACCCCUGAUUUUUUUUCUUUGCCACCAAACCAAGAACGACAGUAACAAGAACGACAACCCCCGGCGAUUCCGGUCAGCUUCUCCGGCGGGAUUCCACCGGUAACACGACAAAGAUAAAGGUUUGAGGGUUACAAGACCAGAUCGGUGACGAGUUGCAACGUGACGUAAGAAUCAGAGGUUUCGGUGUGCGAUGGUGGUGGUGGUGGUGACCCGUUGGAAUCAAGAUCUCCGGUGAUGGAACAUGUGCGGAAGCUAAGGUUUCGCUCUGCUUCGUCACGACCACGCAGGGGAAAAGAAGGAAGGGAACACUGCUAGAUACAUCACUAGAUCGCAAGCUGUUAAGUAUCUUCAUGUAAGUUUACCCGUUUUCAGGUAGUUAUUUUAAAUCAAUCUAAUGACAGAGAUGGUUAGGUUUAAUAUCGUGAAACCGCCCAAGCCCCUCACCAGUUUGGUUUAACUGUCGGUUUUUUUCUUUAACUUUCGGUCGAUCGGUUUCAAAAAUUUCAAACCGCAGUGAAUGGUUUGGUUUGCGGUGUAUACCAGAAAUUGACCGUGUAAAACUGGACCGGACCAUGAUAUAUGUAUUUAUAGAAUACAUGUUUUUAUUGGGUAUGCUACUUAAAUUUUACAUGAAUAAUAUGGACGUACUUGAAUUAAUACUGAUGUGAGUUGGUGACUAAUGGUUAAACAUAAGUACAAGUUGCCAUGCCAAGUGUGCUUAAUUGAAAUGCAAUAUAGUUGUUGAAAUUUUAUGUUUUUAACUCCAUGUGGCGGGUGUUGACCUGUUGUAUCCCGGCGGCUCCGGCCGUCUUUGGCGGGUAGCAGAUUUACCCUGUCGUUGUCGGCGGCUACGGCCGUCUAUGGUGGCGGCGGAAGGUGAUGAUGAUGAGUUGGGCCGCGGUGCAUUUACCCCGUAGUUGCCGGAGGCUACGACCGUCUAUGGUGGCCGCCGAAGGUGAUGAUGAUGAGUUGGGUCUCAUCUGAGCCUCCAU